rnacentral:misc_RNA from 1 species
AACUUUUGACAAUGGAUCUCUUGGUUCUGGCAUCGAUGAAGAAGGCAGCGAAAUGCGAUAAGUAAUGUGAAUUGCAGAAUUCAGUGAAUCAUCGAAUCUUUGAACGCACAUUGCGCCCCCUGGUAUUCCGGGGGGCAUGCCUGAUCGAGCUUCAUUACAACCCUCAAGCUCUGCUUGGUAUUGGGCCCCGCCGGUUUCGGCGGGCCCUCAAGUUAGUGGCGGUGCCAUCCGACUGCUGGCGUAGUAAUUCUUCUCGCUGUAGAGCCGCGGCUAUGUGCUUGCCAGCAUCCACCAAUUUUGUAAAGUUGACCUCAGAUCAGGUAGGGAUACCCGCUGAACUUAAGCAUAUCAAUAAGCGGAGGCU